rnacentral:misc_RNA from 1 species
UAAACUCUGUCUCAUUUCUCAACAACCCAUUCUUAUACUACCUGCUUUAAAUAAUUAAUUAAAAAAAUUAGGAUGUUUUUACUGAGCCAUUAGCUUAUCAAGCUUCAUUUGCUCCAUCCAUGCAUUCAAUUGAUCGAAUUGCUCAACCUGCGAAUUUGAAGUAGAAUCUUCAUUAGAACAUAAGAGGCCUAAAACACGAGAUACAGCUUUGUCUUCAAUGUCCUGUGGCGAUUCUUUGACGAGUG